rnacentral:rRNA from 1 species
CGUCGACCGGCGAAUGGGUGAGUAACGCGUAUCCAACCUGCCCCUGUCCCGGGAAUAGCCCUUGGAAACGAGGAUUAACGCCCGAUUGCGGCAUCAUCGCAUGAUGGGGCCGUGAAAUGCCUAAGGACGGGGAUGGGGAUGCGUCUGAUUAGCCAGCUGGCGGGGUAACGGCCCACCAGGGCUUCGAUCAGUAGGGGUUCUGAGAGGAAGGUCCCCCCACACUGGAACUGAGACACGGUCCAGACUCCUACGGGAGGCAGCAGUGAGGAAUAUUGGUCAAUGGCCGAGAGGCUGAACCAGCCAAGUAGCGUGAGGGAUGAAGGCCCUAUGGGUUGUAAACCUCUUUUAUGCGGGGAUAAAGAGUGUCACGUGUGACAUGUUGCAGGUACCGCAUGAAUAAGGACCGGCUAAUUCCGUGCCAGCAGCCGCGGUAAUACGGAAGGUCCGGGCGUUAUCCGGAUUUAUUGGGUUUAAAGGGAGCGCAGGCGGAGCGCCAAGUCAGCCGUCAAAUGGCUCAGCUCAACUGAGUCCUGCGGUUGAAACUGGCGCCCUUGGGUGCACAAGAGGCAGGCGGAACUCGUGGUGUAGCGGUGAAAUGCAUAGAUAUCACGAAGAACUCCGAUUGCGAAGGCAGCUUGCUGGGGUGUUACCGACGCUCAUGCUCGAAGGCGCGGGUAUCAAACAGGAUUAGAUACCCUGGUAGUCCGCGCAGUAAACGAUGGAUGCCCGCGGUGCGGCCGUUUAAGGUUACGCCGCCAAGCGAAAGCGUUAAGCAUCCCACCUGGGGAGUACGCCGGCAACGGUGAAACUCAAAGGAAUUGACGGGGGCCCGCACAAGCGGAGGAACAUGUGGUUUAAUUCGAUGAUACGCGAGGAACCUUACCCGGGCUUGAAAGGGAGCGGACGGGAGGCAGAGACGCAUCUCUCAUUC